AUCUAGAUGACCAGUCCCAGAUAGGGCGAAACUCGUGUCGAACUGGAU
rnacentral:hammerhead_ribozyme from 1 species